CAUUGCGGAUUAGUUCUUGUAGCGAAGCCAUUGCGAUGAAGUGGAGUGCAGUUUGUCUAGUGGCAGUGGCCACGCUUGGCUGGCUGUGUGAUGCUCAGGUUUACUUGGAAAAACCAGGGUGGCCACCCAACCAGACACCGUCAUGGCCUGCCCAACCCCCUCAGAAGCCUAUUCAACCCCCUCAAAGACCUGCCCAGCCCCCUCAGUGGCCUGCCCAGCCCCCUCAGUGGCCUGCCCAGCCCCUCAGAGGCCUGCCCAGCCCCCUCAGAGGCCUGCCCAACCCCAGCAGUGGCCUGCCCAACCCCCUCAGAGGCCUGCCCAGCCCCCUCAGUGGCCUGCCCAACCCCCUCAGAGGCCUGCCCAACCCCCUCAAAGACCUGCGCAACCCCCUCAGAGGCCUGCCCAACCCCCUCAGAGGCCUGCCCAACCCCCUCAGUGGCCUGUCCAACCCGGUACGCCGCUUCAGAGGCCUAAAUUCCCCUCUGACCCAGGCUCAAAGCAGAGCUGUGAUGUUGAUGGCCAACACAAGGUGCAGUGUGGACUUCCUGACAUCACUGCCGCCCAUUGUGAUGCCAUUAACUGCUGUUUUGAUGGACGAAUGUGCUUCUACGGAAAAUCAGUGACUGUUCAGUGUACCAAGGAUGGCCAGUUUGUGGUGGUGGUGGCCAGGGAUGCCACUCUGCCCAGCCUGGAACUGGACUCCAUCAGCCUGCUGGGGACAAACGGACCCCACUGCCAAGCUAUUGGCACAACUUCUGUCUUUGCCAUCUACCAGUUUAAAGUCACUGAAUGUGGAACUUUCAUGACGGAGGAAACUGAUACUAUUAUCUAUGAGAAUAGGAUGUCCUCUUCAUAUCAAGUUGGGGUUGGCCCCUUUGGCUCCAUCACCAGGGACAGCCAAUUCGAUCUAACAUUCCAGUGCAGAUAUAAGGGCAGUACCAUUGUGGCUGUGGUUAUUGAUGUGAAGCCGGUUCCUCCUCCAAAUCCUGAUAUAGCUCCUGGACCCCUCACAGUUGAGCUCAGACUCGGCAGCGGAUCAUGCCUUACCAAGGGAUGUAAUGAAGAUGAAGUGGCCUACAGCUCUUACUACACAGAGAUAGACUACCCUAUCACCAAGGUCCUCAGGGAUCCUGUGUACACUGAGGUUCGCAUCCUGGCGAGGACAGAUCCCAACAUUGUGCUGACCCUGGGUCGCUGCUGGGCUACCACAACCUCAAACCCUCUCAGCCUGCCCCAGUGGGACCUUCUCAUUGAUGGAUGUCCUUACCAGGAUGACCGUUACCUGACCAAUCCCAUCCCUGUGGGACCCUCUUCGGGUCUGCCCUACCCAACCCACUACAGGCGCUUCGUCCUUAAGAUGUUCACCUUUGUGGAUCCAAUGUCUAUGACCCCCCUGAGGGAGACGGUGUUCAUCCAUUGUAAUACAGCUGUGUGCCUGCCAUCCCAUGGAGACAGCUGUGAACCAAGAUGCUACAGAAAGAGGAGAGACAUUCCUGCUGCAGUUCAGAAGACCACCAGAAUCAAGUCUAAUUUGGUUUCCAGUGGCGAACUGAUCCUGACUGACCCAAGGGAGCUCACCAACUAGAAAAUCUUUUGACUUAACUCAAGCACUUUGUCACCGUGGUGCUGUCGGCUGUUAUGAUGACUUCACAGUGAGGCAUGUGCAAAUAAAUCUGACUGUCCUCGAA